GAUGAACGCUAGCUACAGGCUUAACACAUGCAAGUCGAGGGGUAACGAGAGGAAAGCUUGCUUUCCUUGUCGACGACCGGCGCACGGGUGAGUAACGCGUAUCCAACCUGCCCCCAACUAGGGAAUAACCUUGCGAAAGUAAGACUAAUACCCUAUAAUUUCCUCAGAUGUCAUCUAACGAGGAAUAAAGAUUUAUCGGUUGUGGAUGGGAUGCGUCUGAUUAGCUUGUUGGCGGGGUAACGGCCCACCAAGGCAACGAUCAGUAGGGGUUCUGAGAGGAAGGUCCCCCACAUUGGAACGGAGACACGGUCCAAACUCCUACGGGAGGCAGCAGUGAGGAAUAUUGGUCAAUGGGCGGAAGCCUGAACCGGCCAAGUAGCGUGCAGGAUGACGGCCCUAUGGGUUGUAAACUGCUUUUAUACAGGAAUAAAGUUAGCCACGUGUGGUUAUUUGUAGGUACUGUAUGAAUAAGGACCGGCUAAUUCCGUGCCAGCCGCCGCGGUAA
rnacentral:rRNA from 1 species